ensembl:lncRNA
GGAGAAAACCGUGGCACUGCACUUCUGAGAAAGCUGAAGUUUUAUAUAGCACCAAAAUAUUGAAUGUCAGGCCACUUUGAACUGUGAGAUCAAGACUGGAUUAGACAGAAACCCCAACAAUCCCCUAUGAGGAUGGUGAGAAGAGAGAGGGAGACCGUGGUGAGAAGGAAAUCUCUUUUCAUGAACAGAAGAUCCCAGAAGUGACCAGUUUGGGGGUGAGGAGGAAGAGAAAACAAACAGAGAAUGGGAUGUUUUUUUUUUUGUUUUAUCUUACCAUUAUGAAAGAAGUAAAACUUUUAUUUCUUGUGCUUUUGAAUUGACAGACUUAG